rnacentral:rRNA from 1 species
UAGGGAAUCUUCCACAAUGGACGCAAGUCUGAUGGAGCAACGCCGCGUGAGUGAAGAAGGUCUUCGGAUCGUAAAGCUCUGUCGUUGGUGAAGAAGGAUAGAGGCAGUAACUGGUCUUUAUUUGACGGUAAUCAACCAGAAAGUCACGGCUAACUACGUGCCAGCAGCCGCGGUAAUACGUAGGUGGCAAGCGUUGUCCGGAUUUAUUGGGCGUAAAGCGAGCGCAGGCGGAAUGAUAAGUCUGAUGUGAAAGCCCACGGCUCAACCGUGGAACUGCAUCGGAAACUGUCAUUCUUGAGUGCAGAAGAGGAGAGUGGAACUCCAUGUGUAGCGGUGGAAUGCGUAGAUAUAUGGAAGAACACCAGUGGCGAAGGCGGCUCUCUGGUCUGCAACUGACGCUGAGGCUCGAAAGCAUGGGUAGCGAACAGGAUUAGAUACCCUGGUAGUCCAUGCCGUAAACGAUGAGCGCUAGGUGUUGGGG